UCGACCUCUUACUUACAUCAUCCUUAACAUUUUUUUCUUUUAAAUUACCAUCACUUUCUUUUCCUCCCUUUGCCAAUUUUCAUGUCUUUUUCCUUCUCCUCUUCUCCGACACCUGUUGUUUCAUUUUCAUUUUCUUUUUCCUCUUCUUCACUAGUGAGUGGCUAGACUAGAUCCGAUGGGCAACCAAACGAAGCAGAUCUUAUGCAUCAACAAUUGUGAGGAUUGGUUUGUAAUCGCGAAGUCAAGGGAGUAUCGAAAAGAUUGAAGAUUGAAGAUGGAAGAUGGAGGUGAGCGUUAGCGUAGCGUGCUUUAAGAUGGAGCUGUAACUUGAAGAUGAAAAUGCAGCCCCUUGUUCAAGAUGGAAUUGAAACUUCAAAUGGAAUGGUAACUUGCAGAAGGGAGGGUGGAGAUUAAGAUUUGCUCGUUUGAAGAAGAUGGAAAAUCGAAAAAGAAAAAAGAAAAAUGGCGAUGAUGCAAGACGAAGAUGAAAGACGAUGGAAAAUGAAAAAUGGUGAUGAAGGAAGACAUAAGAAUGGAAAACGGAGAUGAAUGAAGAUGGAAAGGGAAGGAAAAAGAAGAUCACUUCAACGGUCUGCAAAAUGGAGAUGAAAUGUUAUUAUUUUGAAAGGACAAGUGUGUAAGUGUAAUUAUGUUUCAACAUUUAUGAAAGAGUAAUUUCUUAAUGAAAGUAGCUUGUAAUCCACAAUUAUGUAUUAUGUAACAUCCUCACCAAGAAAAUUGUUCUCUCUACCCAUACGACAUAACUAACGCAUUGGUUGUUAACCACACAAUCACACAAUUCAUGUCAAUUUUCUAUACUUUUACAUUUUCAUAUUCUUUUUUUUUUUUUUUCAAUUUCAAGUACUAUAAGUUUUCUCACACUACUAAAAACAUUAAAACAAUGCUUUUUGAUUGGAUGGUAGGAAUUUAUUGUUGUUCAUCAUUAAAUCAAUGAAUUAUGACAAAGUAUUUGUCUUUUUAAAAAUACAAAUCAUAUAAGCCUUUCAAACAAUGGAGCUAAAUGGGUAGUGAGGACAUGGAGGAAGAGAAACCUCUAAAUUCCCUGCAAGCAUUAACAUAACAUUCUCCAUGGUUGGUCUUUUAGAUGGCUCUUCUUGAAUGCACCAAAUUGCUACUUUUAAAAAUCUUUCAACUCUAACAAUGUCAUCUAUGGCCUCCAUAUCUCCUUCAAUUAAAACAUCCAACCUUCCUUGUUCAUAGCAAUCAUAAGCCCAAUCAGUCAAAACCUCUCUCUCUCCUUGAGCACCAUCACCAACUUCCAUCUCCACAUUCCUUCUACAACAUAUGAUCUCUAGCAACAACACUCCAUAGCUGUACACGUCGACCUUGGCAUUUAUCGGCGAAGAUCUGAACCAAUCUGGAGCCACAUACCCUUUUGUUCCUCUUAUGCCAGUUUCGGUUCUACUUUGAUCCAUCUUUAACAAUUUUGCCAACCCGAAAUCAGAGAUCUUGGCGUUGCAAUCGUCGUCGAGAAGUAUGUUUUGAGGCUUUAU